UACCAGCACCCCGAGUGGUCGGUACGAUUACUGGGCCUAAAGCAUCCGUAGCCGGUUCUACAAGUCUUCCGUUAAAUCCACCUGCUUAACAGAUGGGCUGCGGAGGAUACUAUAGAGCUAGGAGGCGGGAGAGGCAAGCGGUACUUAGUGGGUAGGGGUAAAAUCCGUUGAUCCAUUGAAGACCACCAGUGGCGAAGGCGGCUUGCCAGAACGCACUCGACGGUGAGGGAUGAAAGCUGGGGGAGCAAACCGG
rnacentral:rRNA from 1 species